UCUGGAAGUCCUGGUUGGCGCACAGGAAGGAGGACUCGAACAGAUCGGAGGGGGAUUUGACGGUGCAUUAGACGAAAGCGCAAAAGAUGAACUUAGACGACUACAGAAAAUGAGAGACGGUACCUUAGACGAUGUUACCAAGGAUCUGGAGAAGGCCUUUGGACGUUAAGGAAGGAAGGUCAUCGCACAAUGAACAACGAAAUGAAAGUGUGUAUUCAAGAAUGGACGUUCGACGACGCCUUCAACACCAUGGAGAAUUAUACUUCGUUUACCGUCGAAGCGCUGUAAUCACCGAGGCAAUCCGCCUCAAUCGUCCAGUUAAAAUAAAUACGACGUGAGUGCUCUCGCGAUAUUUUGUAUGUUUAUAUGCUUGUUUGCUCUUUUUCAACCGUUUUCGUCUUCUACAGCCUGAAUAUUCGUAUAGUAUUAACUAAUUUAUCAACAGUAAGCAUAUAUUAGAAUGUAAUCCUUCACGCUCCCUUUGUUGUGCUUUUCUGUGCUCCUCCUUCUUCCCUUCAUUAAUGGCUUCGUGUAACUGUUGCACAUCUGCGGGGGCGACACCCUCGCCCCUCGUUGUUUUGUAUGUGUUUGUGUUAAAAUAAAGUUGAGUCACAGUGAUACCAGCGCUCGGGUCCAUCCUCUGGGCCUAUAUAAGCGGCAGCCUGGUCCACUGUAGGCAGUUCGUCUUCAGGAAA